AUUACGUCCCUGCCCUUUGUACACACCGCCCGUCGCUACUACCGAUUGAAUGGCUUAGUGAGGUCUCGGGAUUGGCUUCGGGGAGCCGGCAACGGCACCCUGUCGCUGAGAACUUGAUCAAACUUGGUCAUUUAGAGGAAGUAAAAGUCGUAACAAGGUUUCCGUAGGUGAACCUGCGGAAGGAUCAUUAACGAGUUUUGAAAGGGGUUGUAGCUGGCCUUCCGGGGCAUGUGCACACCCUGCUCAUCCACUCUACACCUGUGCACUUACUGUAGGUUGGCGUGGGUUUUUGGUCUUUGCGGAUCAGAGACAUUCUGCCGGCCUAUGUAUUCUACACAAACACCAAGUAAAUGAAUGUAAACGCGUCUAACGCAUCUUAAUACAACUUUCAGCAACGGAUCUCUUGGCUCUCGCAUCGAUGAAGAACGCAGCGAAAUGCGAUAAGUAAUGUGAAUUGCAGAAUUCAGUGAAUCAUCGAAUCUUUGAACGCACCUUGCGCUCCUUGGUAUUCCGAGGAGCAUGCCUGUUUGAGUGUCAUGAAAUUCUCAACUCAUAAACCUUUGCGGGUUUGUGGGCUUGGACUUGGAGGCUUGCUGGUUUUUACUUCAGCUCCUCUUGAAUGCAUUAGCUUGAUUCCCUGCGGAUCGGCUCUCAGUGUGAUAAUUAUCUACGCUGUGGUCGUGAUGUGUUUGGCAAGCUUCUAAUCGUCCUUCACAGGACAGCUUUAUGACAUCUGACCUCAAAUCAGGUAGGACUACCCGCUGAACUUAAGCAUAUCAAUAAGCGGAGGAAAA
rnacentral:rRNA from 1 species